rnacentral:rRNA from 1 species
CUACGGGUUGCUGCAGUGGGGAAUAUUGCACAAUGGACGAAAGUCUGAUGCAGCAACGCCGCGUGGAGGAUGACACAUUUCGGUGCGUAAACUCCUUUUAUAUAGGAAGAUAAUGACGGUACUAUAUGAAUAAGCACCGGCUAACUCCGUGCCAGCAGCCGCGGUAAUACGGAGGGUGCAAGCGUUACUCGGAAUUACUGGGCGUAAAGAGCGUGUAGGCGGGUUUGUAAGUUGGAUGUGAAAUCCUAUGGCUCAACCAUAGAACUGCAUCCAAAACUGCUUACCUAGAAUAUGGGAGAGGUAGAUGGAAUUUCUGGUGUAGGGGUAAAAUCCGUAGAGAUCAGAAGGAAUACCGAUUGCGAAGGCGAUCUACUGGAACAUUAUUGACGCUGAGAUGCGAAAGCGUGGGGAGCAAACAGGAUUAGAUACCCUUGUAGUC